UACGUAGGUGGCAAGCGUUGUCCGGAAUUACUGGGCGUAAAGCGCGCGCAGGCGGUCCUUUAAGUCUGAUGCGAAAGCCCACGGCUCAACCGUGGAGGGUCAUUGGAAACUGGAGGACUUGAGUGCAGAAGAGGAGAGUGGAAUUCCACGUGUAGCGGUGAAAUGCGUAGAGAUGUGGAGGAACACCAGUGGCGAAGGCGACUCUCUGGUCUGUAACUGACGCUGAGGCGCGAAAGCGUGGGGAGCAAACAGG
rnacentral:rRNA from 1 species